UCGCCCCGCGGCUCCUGGAUUUCCAGAAGACCAAGUACGCGAGGUUCAUGAACCACCGGGUUCCCGCCCACAAGAGGUACCAGCCCACGGAGUACGAGCAUGCUGCCAACUGUGCGACCCACGCUGGCCUGGAAUACUUGCCAUCUCCCCCAUGAAAUCCUGCUCUGGGCAGCAGUCCUUAAACCUCUGGGCCCCUUUGAGGAUCUUAGGAAGAUCCGGACCUAUGCUGUCCAGCUUCGUAGCUACUGGCCUCACGCAGCUGAAAUAUGGCACGUCUGAACUGAGGUGUGCUGUGAGUGUAGACUACACGGCAGCUUUUGAAGACUCAGCAUGAAAAAAAGAAUGCAAGAUAUCUUAAUUCUCUUUAUAUUAAUGAUGUGUUGAAAUGAUACUUUGGAUAUAUUGGACUAAGCAGAAUAUAUCAAUAAAGUCAG